ensembl:lincRNA
GUGGGAGAAUUAAACAUCACAAUGCCCAGUGCCUGCUAGAUGAGAACUGACUCCAGCAAUGCCAGUCACGCUCUGCUUACGCCUACAUCUGCACAGUUCUAGGUGGCUGUUCCAUCCCCUCCCCACCCUGGAGUACCCAUGGUGAACCUCAGAUCCUAAGCGUGACCGUGGUGUUUGGGUGCCAUUUCCAGGCUGCUGCUUGGAAGGUCCUUUUCGAAGGGGGAAGGUACUGGAUGGUCUUGAAUUCAUUUUGGAUAUUACAGGGUCCCCUCCCCCCUUCCUCUUGGGGAAGUUGGUCCAGUAGGUCAUGAUGUCCUGGGGCUAUGGAGCGUGAGAAAUAGUUGAUAUUGCCGACUGCCAUUGUAAGACCCCCAAAGCUGGGCCUCUGCUCAAGUCCUGGGAUGAGCUAGCCAGCACCCCAAUGACUCGAGAGAAAACCACACCUGAUGCAAACUGCAAGAGGUUUUAUUAUCAGCUAGCUGAGGACGAACUCCUUGUGCUUCGCAGGGCAGGGGAGUUCGACCGAGCAGUAACAGUAGGGGGCUUUCAACAGCUAGCUGAAGAAUUGGGAGGAGUUGGGCUACAGCUCUUCUCUGCCAGGUAUCCUUGGUAAAAUUACAAUUAUCGCAUCUCUGGUUGAAAAGUAUAGAAACAAAAAGGCUUUUUGCUGGCUAUAGAGAACAAAGAGCUUCUUUCUGGCUGUAUUUUUAGAGAUCUGGGAAAACAAGCUUGGGGAUCGUCCAGGGGCUUUACCUUCCAGGGAGAAACGCUCUAAGUUGGGGUCUUACACCAUCAGCAGUAGUUGAUAUUGGGUACCAUCAGUGCCCACUUUAAGCCAGGAGCCAUCAGCUCUGGCUUUUAUUGCUUGUUACCAUCAGCAGAGGCUGAUAUUAGGUGCCAUCAGUGACUAGCUGUUCUGUUGGGCGUUAACAGCACCCAUCUCAGGUCAGAAGCCAUCAGUUCUGGGUUGUGUGCAUUUCAUGUGUGUCUCUCAAGAUGGGACAAAGUGAAUCUACAGACAGAGAGUUACUUACAGAUGUUAUUAAGCAUACUGUUAAAGAAAAAGGCAUUGAAGUUAACACUAGCCAGCUGACUGACUUCAGUUUGUACAAACUUAGUCCAGCUAGUCCUUGUUUUCCAGGAAAAAGAACUCCAGAGGUAGAUAGGUAGAUACAUGGGAGAAAGGAUUAGAUAUUUAAAACUGUUUUUCAGAGACUGGAGGCGUGCCCCUUACAGCGUUUGCUAUUUGGAAUGUGCUUAGGACGGCAUUGGCAGACGGCAAAAAAGCCAUAUGUCCUCAGGAGACAGUAGGUUUACCUCCUUGUGAGGGUACUCCAUCACUGCAGUCUCCCUCAGGAUCUAAGGACAAUGUUUAUUUCUCAACAGAAAAGUCUGAGAAAAGUAUCUCAGGAGAGGUUAGUUAUGAAUCAGAAGAGGAAAAAUCAACCUCAGAGGAGGAGUCUGACUCAGAAAAGAUGAUCAGUGAUCGGCCCAACUUGGGGUCCACCUCAUGAGCAGGUACCAAACACUGACACUAUUACUGAUGUUGUGCUCUCAGACAGGAGCCUAGCAUGGCUGGCAUCUGGGUUUUUGAAGGUUGCAAUAUAUCUGUCUAAGCCCUUCUAGCUUUUACAGUCUCUGUUGAGACGUCAGGUGCAACUCUGAUAGGUCUGCCUUUGUAUGUUACCUGGCCCCCUUUACUUACUGCUUUUAAUAUUGUUUCUUUGUUCUGUAGAUUUUUAUGUUUUGAUUAUUAUGUGACAGGAGGAUUUUUUUCUGGUCCAGCCUAAUUGGUGUUCUCUAAGAUUCUUGUAUAGGUCUAUAGAAAUCUCUUUAGGUUGGGACUUUUCUUUCUUUCUUUUUUCUGUGAUUUAGUUGAAAAUAUUUUCUGGGCCUUGGAGCUCGGACUCUUCUUCUAUUUCAAUUAUUCUUAUGUUAGGACUUGUCACGGUAUCCCAAGUUUCCUGGAUGUUUUGUGUCAGAAUGUUUUAGAUUUAACAUUAUUUUCUCACUGAUGUAUCAGUUUGUCCUGUUAUAUCUUGCAUGCCUGAGAUUCUCCCAUCUCCUGAGUUACCUUGUUGAUGCUUGUAUUUGUUGUUCUUUUCCCUAGAUUUUCCAUCUCUAGGAUUUCCUCUUUAUUGCUUCUCUUUUCACUUUCAGGUCUUGCACAGUUUUAUGAAGGAAACACUUCACCUGUUUAAUUGUAUUUUCCUGUAUGUCUUUAAGGGAUUCAUUUGUUUCCACUUUAAAGACCUCUACCUGUUUGAUUGUAUUUUCUUGUAUUUCUUUAAGGGAUUUGUUCAUUUGCUCUUUAAAGGCCUCUGUCAUCUUUAUAAGAUUGGAUUUAAGGUCAUUUUCUUGUGCUUGAGUUGUGUUAGGAUAUCCAGGGCUUGCUGUAGGAGGGCAUGUGUGCUCUGAAAGUGUCAUAUUGCCCUGGUUUUUGUUGAUUUUUUUUUGAGGGCCUUUAGCCAUCUGGAUGGCUUUGGUCCCUGGAUGCUCCUGUUGUAAUAGAUAUUGGGAGGGAGGUUAACCUUGAUGCUGCUGAUUUGCCAGGCCCGUGGGUUGUAUGGUUCCAUAUCUGCAGGUCUGUUUGGUUCAGGAUCUGUAGUUCCCACAAAGGUGGCAGAGGUGGAUGGAGAGUGGAGGUCCUCCUGUGCCAUCAGGCUGCUCAGGGCAGCUCGGCUGGCUCCAGAGGUCUCAGCAAGCAGGGAAGGAAAGUGGGGGAAGGGAAGCUUCCCUGUAUGGCUUAGGAUCCACAGGCCUGAUGAAGGUGGGUGGAGAAUGGAGGCCCUCCUGGGCUAGCAGGCUGCUCAGGGCAACUUGGCGGGCUCCAGAGCAGGUUAAUAUUUCUUGUUUGCUGUCUCUGAUAUGUAACUGCUUUCUCACCUACAGUUACUCUUUUUCUUUUUCUUUUUCAACAUUUACUAUCAGUAUCCAAAUUUAAUUAUUAUCAAAUGAAUGGUGUCUUGCCUUCAAGGACCAUCAGAGCUGCUUGCCUUCAAACUCUACCUGCCCAGCUCCAUCUCUGAAUCCUUUUACAAUUAACAUUAAGCUGGGCUGUCCUAAAUAUCUUUUAAUGAAAAGGAAAAGUUAUUUUCAUACAAUUUAUUUUGACCAUGCUUUCCCCUCUCCCAAUUCCCCCAGAUCCUCCCCACUUACCCACUCACCAGCAUCCUGCCCUUUCUUUAUCUU